rnacentral:lncRNA from 1 species
CAACUGAUCCUGGUCUAAGGAUACCAAUUUUGGAUUACAAUGCUAACAUCCGAGAUGAAGUUCGAAGAGCAUAUAUGUUAAAGGGUCCUUGUCAGCCCCAAGAUCAUGACUUUCCAAAACGACAAUUUGGAGUAACAAUUAGACGAUUCAAUCCUUCGUGGUUUAAAGAGUUCGGUAGUUGGUUGGAGUACAGUGUAGAGAAGGAUGCUGCUUAUUGUUUGUAUUGUUAUCUUUUCAGAACAAGUUCUGGAAAGUAAGGUGGAGGUGAGUCUUUUGUUGGCGAAGGUUUUACAUAUUGGAAAGAUAAAAAAAAGGCUUCAUACUCAUGUUGGACUUCAUGAUAGUGCACAUAAUCAAGCUCGCAUUAAGUGUGAAGUAUUGAUGAAUCAAGAGCAACACAUUCAAUCAGUUUUCUACAAACAGUCAGAACAAGCAAGAAAUGCAUAUGUUACACGCCUUAAUGCAUCCAUUGAUUGUGUUCGAGUUCUUUUGCGACAAGGGCACUCAUUUCGAGGUCAUGAUGAAUCUGAGGAUUCU